AGUGGCGAAGGCGGCUUGCUGGACUAAAACUGACGCUGAGGAACGAAAGCAUGGGUAGCAAACGGGAUUAGAUACCCCGGUAGUCCAUGCCGUAAACGAUGUCAACUAACUGUUGGGUACUUCGGUACUUAGUGGUGGAGCUAACGUAUUAAGUUGACCGCCUGGGGAGUACGGCCGCAAGGCUAAAACCCAAAUGAAUUGACGGGGGCCCGCACAAGCGGUGGAGCAUGUGGUUUAAUUCGAUGCAACGCGAAGAACCUUACCUACCCUUGACAUCCAGAGAAUCUGUUAGAGAUAAUUGAGUGCCUUCGGGAACUCUGAGACAGGUGCUGCAUGGCUGUCGUCAGCUCGUGUUGUGAAAUGUUGGGUUAAGUCCCGUAACGAGCGCAACCCUUAUCCUUAGUUGCCAGCACGUAAUGGUGGGAACUCUAGGGAGACUGCCGGUGAUAAACCGGAGGAAGGUGGGGACGACGUCAAGUCAUCAUGGCCCUUAUGGGUAGGGCUACACACGUGCUACAAUGGCCAGUACAGAGGGCUGCAAACUUGCGAGAGUAAGCAAAUCCCAGAAAGCUGGUCUUAGUCCGGAUUGGAGUCUGCAACUCGACUCCAUGAAGUUGGAAUCGCUAGUAAUCGCGAAUCAGAACGUCGCGGUGAAUACGUUCCCGGGCCUUGUACACACCGCCCGUCACACCAUGGGAGUGGGUUGCAAAAGAAGUGGGUAGACUAACCUUCGGGAGGUCGCUCACCACUUUGUGGUUCAUGACUGGGGUGAAGUCGUAACAAGGUA
rnacentral:rRNA from 1 species